rnacentral:rRNA from 1 species
UACGUAGGGUGCGAGCGUUGUCCGGAAUUAUUGGGCGUAAAGAGCUCGUAGGCGGUCUGUCGCGUCGGAUGUGAAAGCCCGGGGCUUAACCCCGGGUCUGCAUUCGAUACGGGCAGGCUAGAGUGUGGUAGGGGAGAUCGGAAUUCCUGGUGUAGCGGUGAAAUGCGCAGAUAUCAGGAGGAACACCGGUGGCGAAGGCGGAUCUCUGGGCCAUUACUGACGCUGAGGAGCGAAAGCGUGGGGAGCGAACAGG